GACGAACGCUGGCGGCGUGCUUAACACAUGCAAGUCGAACGAAAAGAGGGAAAGAGCUUGCUCUUUCCGGAAUUGAGUGGCAAACGGGUGAGUAACACGUAAACAACCUGCCUUCAGGAUGGGGACAACAGACGGAAACGACUGCUAAUACCGAAUAAGUUCCAAGGGCCGCAUGGCCCAUGGAAGAAAAGGUGGCCUCUACCUGUAAGCUAUCGCCUGAAGAGGGGUUUGCGUCUGAUUAGCUGGUUGGAGGGGUAACGGCCCACCAAGGCGACGAUCAGUAGCCGGUCUGAGAGGAUGGACGGCCACACUGGAAUUGAGACACGGUCCAGACUCCUACGGGAGGCAGCAGUGGGGAAUCUUCCGCAAUAGGCGAAAGCCUGACGGAGCAACGCCGCGUGAGUGAUGACGGCCUUCGGGUUGUAAAACUCUGUGAUCCGGGACGAAAAGGCAGAGUGCGAAGAACAAACUGCAUUGACGGUACCGGAAAAGCAAGCCACGGCUAACUACGUG
rnacentral:rRNA from 1 species